GACGAACGCUGGCGGCGUGCCUAAUACAUGCAAGUCGAGCGAGCGGCGGACGGGUGAGUAAUGUCUGGGAAACUGCCUGAUGGAGGGGGAUAACUACUGGAAACGGUAGCUAAUACCGCAUACCAUCAGAUGUGCCCAGAUGGGAUUAGCUAGUAGGUGGGGUAAUGGCUCACCUAGGCGACGAUCCCUAGCUGGUCUGAGAGGAUGACCAGCCACACGGGAACUGAGACCCGGUCCAGAUUCCUACGGGAGGCAGCAGUGGGGAAUAUUGCACAAUGGGCGCAAGCCUGAUGCAGCCAUGCCGCGUGUGUGAAGAAGGCCUUCGGGUUGUAAAGUACUUUCAGCGGGGAGGCGUUACCCGCAGAAGAAGCACCGGCUAACUCCGUGCCAGCAGCCGCGGUAAUUC
rnacentral:rRNA from 1 species